rnacentral:rRNA from 1 species
CUACGGGCGGCUGCAGUGGGGAAUAUUGGACAAUGGGGGAAACCCUGAUCCAGCAAUGCCGCGUGUGUGAAGAAGGCCUGCGGGUUGUAAAGCACUUUCGGUUGGGAGGACUGCUUCUAGCACUAAUAUUGUCGGAAGUUGACGUUACCUUCAGAAGAAGCACCGGCUAACUCCGUGCCAGCAGCGGCGGUAAUACGGAGGGUGCAAGCGUUAAUCGGAAUUACUGGGCGUAAAGCGCGCGUAGGCGGCUAGAUCAGUCGGGUGUGAAAGCCCCGGGCUUAACCUGGGAACUGCAUCCGAUACCGUCUAGCUUGAGUACAGGAGAGGAGAGUGGAAUUCCACAUGUAGCGGUGAAAUGCGUAGAUAUGUGGAGGAACACCAAUGGCGAAGGCAGCUCUCUGGCCUGAUACUGACGCUGAGGUGCGAAAGCGUGGGGAGCAAACAGGAUUAGAUACCCUCGUAGUC